ACAGCAACAACCCCGACAACAGCAACAACAACAGGAAAUACAACAGCUGAAACAUCCACCAACGCAGAGACUCCUUAUCCGUGGCAGAUGUGUGUUCGUACGGUGAUUGGAAUCCUCUAUUUAAUCAUCAUGAUCAGCAUCACCGUCACCACCUGGAGGAAAGCUCGACAAACAGAAGCGACACACAGCAGAAACAGGAAGUGAUGUCUGAUCCUCCAUCACGCAGCAACAAGAGCAUCUAAAAACUAUCAGCAAGUAAAACAAGACAACACAAGGGAGAACAGGAAACCUUCAAGAUAAAACAGGAAGUGGAAAAUAAAACAGAAAAUGUAAUACGAACUCAAAACAACAACUUGACAAAGGGACGAAACAUGAUACAGACUAUAUAUUCUUCGCAUUUCUGCACUCA